rnacentral:rRNA from 1 species
GCCUACGGCCAUACCACCCUGAAAGCGCCCGAUCUCGUCUGAUCUCGGAAGCUAAGCAGGGACAGGCCUGGUUAGUACCUGGAUGGGAGACCGCCUGGGAAUACCAGGUGUUGUAGGCU